GGCAGGCCGAAGUUGGCAACAUGGAUUGAGGAGUUGAACAAGCUCGAUAGCUACUCACAGACCAAACUGGAUCCUCAAGAGCUACUUGCUCACAGUAAGAAGCGACUGGGGAUCGCAUGAAGUCUUCAUCGCCUCACAGGUGGUGCGAAUGCGAGUUCUAGAGAACACUAGCAUGCUACUGUAAUAAAAUGGUGUCCCUGACAUUGCCAGAGCCAAUUCGGACAUCAUCAGUUGAUUUAUAUUUUGUACUUGUUAAAGUUGAUGGCCUUGUUUGAAG
rnacentral:misc_RNA from 1 species